GAUGAACGCUGGCGGCGUGCUUAACACAUGCAAGUCGAACGAAGCACUUUAUUUGAUUUCCUUCGGGACUGAUUAUUUUGUGACUGAGUGGCGGACGGGUGAGUAACGCGUGGGUAGCCUGCCUUGUACAGGGGGAUAACAGUUGGAAACGGCUGCUCAUACCGCAUAAGCGCACAGCAUCGCAUGAUGCAGUGUGAAAAACUCCGGUGGUAUAAGAUGGACCCGCGUUGGAUUAGCUAGUUGGUGAGGUAACGGCCCACCAAGGCGACGAUCCAUAGCCGACCUGAGAGGGUGACCGGCCACAUUGGGACUGAGACACGGCCCAAACUCCUACGGGAGGCAGCAGUGGGGAAUAUUGCACAAUGGGCGAAAGCCUGAUGCAGCGACGCCGCGUGAGCGAAGAAGUAUUGCGGUAUGUAAAGCUCUAUCAGCAGGGAAGAUAAUGACGGUACCUGACUAAGAAGCACCGGCUAAAUACGUG
rnacentral:rRNA from 1 species